CAGCCGCCACGGUAAUACCAGCACCUCGAGUGGUCAGGAGGUUUAUUGGGCCUAAAGUAUCCGUAGCCGGUUGCAUAAGUUUUCGGUUAAAUCUAUGCGCUUAACGUAUAGGCCGCCGAAAAUACUGUGCAGCUAGGGAGUGGGAGAGGUACACGGUACUCGAUAGGAAGGGGUAAAAUCCUUUGAUCUAUUGAUGACCACCUGUGGCGAAGGCGGUGUACCAGAACACGUUCGACGGUGAGGGAUGAAAGCUGGGGGAGCAAACCGGAUUAGAGACCCCAGUAGUCCCUGUCUCUUAUAA
rnacentral:rRNA from 1 species